UGGUAUAGAAGUCCAAAACACAAUGUACACCAUUUCUAGCCUACUUCUUUAGUUAAGCUUUAGUUCUUCUUUAACAAAACAAUGUCAUAUUUGCAUUUAAAACCAGUUUCCUGUUUACAGGUGAUGCUUGGACUGCCAAACAGCUAAGAGGAAAAAUCAAUGAAGAUUUGCACAAACUUUGGUAUGUAUUGCUCAAAGAUAAAAACAUGCUCUUAACUUUGGAACAGGAGUCUAAAAGGCAAAGAUUACCAAUGCCAAGUCCUGAGCGUCUUUCCAAGUGCCUGUGCGAUUUGGCAGCCAUGGGCAAAGGCUGUUUGUCAUGCAGCCUUCACAUUUCUAUGACAGGAGAUUUCUGCGUUUGCUGGUGAAGCAGAACUAGCAGACAUUCCAGAGGGUUAUGUUCCAGAGCACUGGGAAUAUUGCAAGCAUCCGAUCACUCGUUUGACUCCCCUGAAAAAGAAUAUGAAAAAAUGAUGGCGUUGAUCAACAUGGAAGCAGAAAAGGCUG